ensembl:lncRNA
UUACUGCCUUGUCCUCUUACAGAAAUACAUAACAUAGUGUUUCCCAAAAUGUUUUCUGUGAACCUCAGGAGAGGUCCAUAGGGGUGUUCCAAAGGGGAAAAAGGCUCUGGGGUCGCACAGAUCGGGAAAUGCUGGGUUAAUACAGGCUUGGUACCGGCGGGCCCUGAGCCCUUACUGGGCUAAAGCGCACUGUGAGUUUCUAGGAAUGAGGCUUCAUGUGCAAAUUAAUUUUACCAGCAACACUUUUUCUACAAAACACCUAAGAACAUCUCACAGAGCACUCAUACACAAGCAGAACUCUGGGAAAUGGUUUGCUCCUCCGACUGGAAAUUCCACAAUCCGAGUUUACAUUCACUGCGGUCCCUGAUGCGUUUUCCCUACUCACCCUGUGACUUCAGGAGGCUGCGCAGACUCGUAGCCCUUUCUCUGUCACGAGUUCUACACACCUCACGCUACUUCCUUCCUUUUCUCUUAGGAGCGAAAGUGCCUUCUUCUCUUCUGAAUUUCUUACGACUUUCUCAUUUUGAAAGAGUGUAGCUCCAUAUUGCUUAUUAUUGGGGCUUUUGGUUUGCUUUUAAACUCAACUCACAGUCUGUCUUCCCCUGGAGGGCAUGCAUUUCAGUAUUAUAGAAAUGCAGGAAAUGGUAAUAAAUUAUUUACAAGCACCUAGUUCGUUUAAUCUUACGUGAAAGCCAUUCACUUUUGGAAAACAAGGAGAAUAAAUCUUUUAGCAAAACAGUGGUAUCUGGAAGCCUUAUCGGGAUGAUGGAUAUUUGUUCAGUAACGAGGCACGAAAGAAUGAGCUGUGCUAAAAUUAACGCGAGGGUGAGCUUGUCUGGAUGAGCAGAACUUUGGUUGAGAUUUGUCUUCCUUAAAAAAGGUUUUCAAAGCACCAGUUAAUUACAGAAAGCAUGCAUAUUUAUUCUCACAGUGAGUUAAGUGGUGAGAGAGCUAGCAAAUCAUACAUUGCAUUCCCCAAAGCAUCUGAGUAGAUUUCUAGAAAACAAACCAACUGAAAGGGCAAAUAGAGCCAGAGAAGCCAUUGUUCCCUGCUCAGGCUGGCGAGGCAGCAGCUCUUAGCGGAAGUCACAGGCGGGGCAGCAGCGUCCACAGAGAGGUCAGUCCCAACCUUGACUUAGACAGUCCGAGUGACCCUUGGUCUAUAAUUUCACGGACGAGUAGAAAAGACUAGUGAAACGUUUGCUUACCUAGACNNNNNNNNNNNNNNNNNNNNNNNNNNNNNNNNNNNNNNNNNNNNNNNNNNNNNNNNNNNNNNNNNNNNNNNNNNNNNNNNNNNNNNNNNNNNNNNNNNNGACUAGUGAAACGUUUGCUUACCUAGACAACGAACACACAAGGGGAUAAAUCAGCUUCCCUGGCUGUUCCCCAAAACACAGACAGAGCCCAGUCCUACUUAGGACGUAAAAUGGAAUGUUAACACAGUGAAGGUGCCACUCCACAUCAGAGCCGCUGCAACACUGACAACGGCUUAAUGGGAUGCGAGCUCCUAUAAAGAAAACGUGUUUUAAAUGCGGAAUUUGAGAAGAAUGGAAGAAAAUCACAACAGCAUGGCAUUAUUGCUCCGAGUUUCAAAAAUUUCAUACAAUGUGAAAUACCAAUCAGUAUUUUUCCCUCUCUCAACACACACAGAAUACUCACAAGACAUUAUUAGUGUUUAAAAUCCAAGCUGAUAAAAGUACAAACUUUAAUUCUCAGUACCUUUCUAUUAAAUGCAAAGGUUACCUGCGGUAUUUGUCAGGAAAAAUUCCUAAUUCCAUAAAACCACAGAGAGAAGAAGAAACAGCUGUUAGAGAACGUUUUCUAUCACAUGAUCUUUAAGAAAUCACCAUCAUUACCACAAUUAGAGAACAAUUAUGAUCCCUGCUCACAAAAAAGGCACCUACCUGUUAUCAACAAUUUUUCAUAAUUAUUUGCCACUAUAUGGCAUCAGGGUUUAGGAAAAGAACCCACGUAUAUUUUUAAAGAACCAUGGUUUUCUUUUUCUCAAAGCUAAAAAAAAUCUACAAAUGCCAGUCUGCAGGGCCAUCACAUAUGUGAUGUACAACCCACUCUGCCCAACUUGAGUGGGUACCAGCCACUCAAAAGCGUACAACCAGUCUACAGGAUGUAAGAGGGUUGGGCCAUGAGGCUGCAGCCAGGGCACUUCACACUAACACAGGCGAUCAGGCCAAGCUAAUAGGUUAGGACAGUUGCUACCUCCAAGACACAACUGUACCUGAGAGGCAGGUGCUGCCUGAGGCAGGAGGUCGGGGGAGGGGUGGCAGGGAAGGGACACAGACACAAAACAGGAGUUGCUCCUAAAUACUUGCCCGUCAUUUAAAACUCAAUGGCA